rnacentral:rRNA from 1 species
UUGACCUCAAAUCAGGUAGGACUACCCGCUGAACUUAAGCAUAUCAAUAAGCGGAGGAAAAGAAACUAACAAGGAUUCCCCUAGUAACUGCGAGUGAAGAGGGAAAAGCUCAAAUUUAAAAUCUGGCAGCUUCGCUGUCCGAGUUGUAU